rnacentral:misc_RNA from 1 species
UGACUGAGAAAACAGAUUACCAUUUGGUUAGUUUAUUAUACUAAGGGUGCUGACCGGCAGCUUUCCCACAGAGUAGAGCAUUGCUAGGGAUAUCAUAUUCAUUAGCAAGGCUGUGGACUGGAGUCCAGACCCUGAGAUAAAGCUGCUGCCCAAGAUACUGCCUCUCCCACAAUGCAGAUCUCAUGUUCCACAUACCCUGGUUGUCCAAGGAGAUCAGUAUUGCGGUCCAUGAGUUUGGAUAUACCUGAGCAGUGUGUCUGGUAAUUGCAUCAACUAGAUUGUAUGAGCGUCUCUUGGCUGGAGUCCACUGGCCAUUUCCAUAACCAACAACCCAAAAGUCAUAACCAUCAAGAUGCCAUGAUUGCAUGGCGUAUUCAUUGUUCUGGAAAACAAUUUCCACUCAACAAAAUCAUGGAGUGAUGCUGGUAUAACAGAGGUAGCUACAUAUGCAGGACCACCAGAGGGAAGGCUUUGGAUGGAAUCCACACUGAAGACUCCCGGGAUAUUAAAG